ACUCAAAUGAAUUGACGGGGGCCCGCACAAGCGGUGGAUGAUGUGGAUUAAUUCGAUGCAACGCGAAGAACCUUACCUACUCUUGACAUGUGCGGAACCUGGGAGAGAUUCUGGGGUGCCCGAAAGGGAGCCGCAACACAGGUGCUGCAUGGCUGUCGUCAGCUCGUGUCGUGAGAUGUUGGGUUAAGUCCCGCAACGAGCGCAACCCUUACCAUUAGUUGCUACAUUUAGUUGGGCACUCUACUGGGACUGCCGGUGACAAGCCGGAGGAAGGUGGGGAUGACGUCAAGUCCUCAUGGCCCUUAUGAGUAGGGCUUCACACGUCAUACAAUGGCCGGUACAGAGGGUUGCCAAGGCGCGAGCCGGAGCUAAUCCCACAAAGCCGGUCGUAGUCCGGAUUGUUCUCUGCAACUCGAGAGCAUGAAGUCGGAAUCGCUAGUAAUCGCGGAUCAGCAUGUCGCGGUGAAUACGUUCCCGGGCCUUGUACACACCGCCCGU
rnacentral:rRNA from 1 species